GUAGCCUAGUGGGUAGAGCGUUGGGCCAGUAACCAGCAGGUAGCCUAGUGGUUAGAGCGUUGGGCCAGUAACCAGCAGGUAGCCUAGUGGUUAGAGCGUUGGGCCAGUAACCAGCAGGUAGCCUAGUGGUUAGAGCGUUGGGCCAGUAACCAGCAGGUAGCCUAGUGGUUAGAGCGUUGGGCCAGUAACCAGCAGGUAGCCUAGUGGUUAGAGCGUUGGGCCAGUAACCAGCAGGUAGCCUAGUGGUUAGAGUGUUGGGCCAGUAACCAGCAGGUAGCCUAGUGGUUAGAGCGUUGGGCCAGUAACCAGCAGGUAGCCUAGUGGUCAGAGUGUUGGGCCAGUAACCAGCA